CCUUUUCUCGCUAAUCUUCCUCCAAACCCUAAAAUAAAGGCUGACACUCCAAUGAGUGCUACUUAAAAGCUAAACACAGUUGGCAUAAUUUAGCAUUUAACGGUCAAAUUUGGAAAUUCUAGUGCUUCAACGACAAUACAAAAAUAGGGUUCAAUUUCUUUCCUUUAUAUGUUUACAUUAUGGGUACCGUAGAGGUGUUAGGGAAUGAAGGAGUUGGUGAUGGGUGUGGCAUAAGUUCAUGUCGUGAUAAUGCUUAUGUGGGAAUAAUGAAUGGUGGCAAAGGAAGUGAGAUGUUGGGUGAUGAGAUUUUGGAGGACUUUGAUUUGUAUUGGGAAGAUAUAAAUGAGCGUUUAACGGUUUCGAGGAUGGUGAGUGACUCACUUAUUAAGGGAAUGGUAAGUGCUGUGGAGCAGGAGGCGGCUGAGAGAAUAAUGGCUAAGGAAAUAGAAUUGGCCAAAGUAAAGGAUUGUUUGCAAUUUCAUGAUGUGGGUCUGAGUAAAACUGAAUCUUUGGGGUCACCCGUCUUGCAGGAUGAGCUAGAAAGUUUGAAUUUUCAGAAGCAUUUCAGUUUAUCAGAUGUUUUCUGGGAACAUGAGAAGAUGAGAGAGAUUUCAGGUGGACUAAGAAAUUCAGCAAUGGAUCAACUCAAGAAGCUGAAGAAGGGCAUUGAUAGGGUUAGAGGCUCCAAUUCUAUCAGGAGGAUCGGUUCUGGUUCAGAGUUGGUGGGUCUGGGUGGCAUUUUGCGAGAGCAAGAAUCUGAAAGUUGGGUUCAUGUGGACAAAACAGUGAAGCAUCUGAAAAUGACCAUGGAUACAAUUUUUACACGUAUGGAUGAAGUGGUACAGUUAUCCAAGGCAUCAGUUGAGCGGUGGCAGGAGGAGCAUCUGAUUGAGGUGGAGGUUGAGGCCAUGGUGAUGCAGAAUCUGAUCCAGAGUAUGCAGGAAGGUUUUGAGGACAAAUUGUGGGAUCAGUAUAGUCAAUCUUGUGAUGCUCAAAUUGAGAAAUUUAAUGAGAUCUCUAGUCUACGAAAUGACUUAGAGGUUAUUUUGAAGUCAAUGUCUAGUAUAGAAACAGGGCGUCUGACUUCACAUGGUUCACAGGAUGUUGACUACUUUCACCGUAAGAUGUCAAGUGAGCAUUUGACUUCUUCAAAAUCUAUUUCGGAGGGAAACGGGAAGGUGGAGGACUCAAAGAGCGAUAUACCUGAGAAGUUUGAAGCUGCCACAUUGAAACACAUGUCGCAGGAGGAAAUGGUGGACUAUUUUAAUGAUAUGAUGACAAAGAUGAAGAGAGAACAUGAAUGCAUUCUGGAAAGGAAAACUGAUGACUACUUUGCUCUAAGAGCUGUAUAUCUAACUCUGAUAGGAAGCGGGUCUGUUGUGCCGCAAAAGAAAGAUCAGGGGGAAUUUGAUUUUCUUAGAAAGAAGAUCCCAGAAGUUAUAAUGAAAUUAGAAGAUAUAUUUGUAGAGACUGAAAAGUGUCCUGAAUUUGCUCAAAGAGCUGCAAAUUUGAAUAACUUGAAGGAAAGAAUUGACACCCUUGUUUCUGAAAAUCGUCAGCUAAGAGACUUGCUUAGAGAUAAGAAAAAUGAAGUGAGGUUCCUAUUGUCCGAAGCCUCUGCUGCUGCUGAGAAGAGUCUGCAACACUCUUUGGCUGAAGAAAACAUGCAGAAGCAGAUAGGAGAUCUCAAUUUAGUGGUGGAAGAUUCACAGAUUUCAGCUUCAGUCAGGGAAGAAGUGUAUAAAUGUUUCCUAAGGGAUCUCAUUAGAAAGAAAGGCAGCGAAGCUGAUGAAUCAAACAUGGAGUUCCAUAUUAUGAAUGACAUUUAUGAUAUUAUUUUGGCAAAAGCUUACAUUAAUGCCGAAAGUACUUGCAAUUCUAAACUUGAAGAUUCAGAGUUGGAGUGUCUGAUAAUGCAAGAUCUUAAUGGAGUGAUUUUCAGUGAAGGAAUCAAGGAUUCUCAGGACAAGCUCAAGGAAUUGUACCAGGAUUAUUUGAUUUUGGCAAAAGCUUACAUUAAUGCCGAAAGUACUUGCAAUUCUAAACUUGAAGAUUCAGAGUUGGAGUGUCUGAUAAUGCAAGAUCUUAAUGGAGUGAUUUUCAGUGAAGGAAUCAAGGAUUCUCAGGACAAGCUCAAGGAAUUGUACCAGGAUUAUUUGAAUGAAAAUGAAAGUCGGAUAUUUCUUGAGAUGAAAGCUAUUCAGAAGGAUUAUGAAUUAAAAUUGGAGGUUGAGGAGAAGGAAAAACUAAAGCAAAUGAUUUAUCUGCUGGAAAGGUCAGUGGAUGAAAAGGAAACAUUAGCAAGUGAUGCAUCAACUGCUCUAGCAAAGGAGAAGGAACAAUUCGAGUUGGUAACUGAAGUUGCUAUUCAGAAGGAAUAUGAAUUAAAAUUGGAGGUUGAAGAGAAGGAAAAAUUAAAGCAAAUGAUUUAUCUGCUGGAAAGGUCAGUGGAUGAAAAGGAAAAAUUAGCAAGUGAUGCAUCAACUGCUCUAGCAAAGGAGAAGGAACAAUGUGAGUUGGUAACUGAAGUUGCUAUUCAGAAGGAAUAUGAAUUAAUAUUGGAGGUUGAAGAGAAGGAAAAACUAAAGCGAAUGAUUUAUUGGCUGGAAAGUUCAGCGGAUGAAAAGGAAAAAUUAGCAAGUGACGCAUCAACUGCUCUAGCAAAGGAGAAGGAACAGUUUGAGUUGGUAACUGAAGAGCUUAAUGCUGUGAGAGAACAUGCAAGUAGGCAACAAAGAUUAGUUUCUGAGAGCAAUAUGGAAUUAGAGGCGGUAAAGGUUCAAUUAGCAGAAGCAUUGGAGCAGAUUGAAGCAAUGAAGGAGGAGAUCCACAGGUUAAAUCAAAAGCUUGUAGACAAGGUGGAGGAGUUAAAAGAAGCCGAUGACAAAGCAAAGAUGGACCUUGUUGUUUCUGAAGAGAGGCAGUACUUUUUGGCCUUAAAUGAAACCAAAGAAAUUGAGCUAAGAAAGCAUAUGGAAGCAGUAAUUUGUAGGGUACAUGAGUUGUCAAAAAUGCUUGAAGAUUUUGAAUGCAGGGUGAGUGGCAGUCUGGAGACAAAUCAGGCUAGGUUGGAUCAUUCAUCGUGUCAGUUGAAUUCUCUUGUUAAGAAGACCAAUUCACUUAGAAGAACAGUGCUAUUGUACCGGCAGAGGCUUGAAAAAAGAUGUUCAGACCUUCAAAUGGCUGAGGCUGAGGUUGAUCUUUUGGGAGAUGAGGUUGAUACACUUUUGCGCUUACUUGAAAAGAUAUACAUCGCACUUGAUCACUACUCACCAGUUUUGCAGCAUUAUCCUGGAAUUGUUGAAAUUCUUAAGCUGAUCAGAAAGGAAUUAUGGGGAGAUUCUGCUAAAUCAGUGAAGUGAUCUCCUACAUAAGAAGGUGCUGGUGAGUUCUAUGCUAUGUUUGGUGAAAGAGGAGGAUAUGAGGAGGGGAAGUAAAAGGAAGUAAAACAGGGAAGAUAAAAGCUCAACUGCUCAAGGUGCACAGGGAGACAGACUUGAUCCAUAGCUGCUUAUUCAGAGAUUGCAUAGCAGAGCUCCAUUUAUUUCGGAGCCGUAGCUUUUGGGUACUUAUUCUUUUGUGUAUAUAAUUAUGGGCAUAGCGGGGUCCUGUCCCGCUCAUACGAUAUGUCAUACUCUUAGAGGCUCGUAGUCAUGUGUAUGUGGGUAGAGAUGUUCGGCCAUGUCGGCCCAUGUUUUGUAUAUCUUUUGUUAGCCACGUUGGCCUUGUACUUAUGAUGUGGCACAGAUGCCUAUGAUAUGUUAAAUGAUGAUGUUCGUCUAAUGGGAUCAAUAUGAUUAACGAUAAGAAAAGCACGAAUUGACUUAUGGUUCACCUAGAUAUUAUGUUAUGUACGAUAAGGGGGUGCUCGGGUGGGGUAGCACCGGGUGCUUGUCGCGGCCCCCUAGCCGGGUCGUGACAAAAGUGGUAUCAAAGCAGUUCAGUCCUAGGAUGUGUCUACGAGCCGUGUCUAGUAGAGUCUUGGUUAUGGGUGUGUUGCGCGCCACACUUAUAAACGAGAAGCUGCGGACAUUUUAGGAAUAUAUGACCUUCUUUCUUUAUAAAAAUCGUGCGAUAGAGCUAUGAUGUAAGAAAUUCUUGUUCCUAAAUCGUGUGUUGUGUAUUUCAGAGAUGCCUAAAAAGAAAAAGGCUACAGCAGCCCAAAAGGGCAAGACGGUGGCAGAAAAGCGAGCUGAAAGAGCACCGCCACCGGUAGUAGAGGAAGAUGAGUCCCAGAGUGAGGCUUAAUCUCAGUCCUCCCAGACAGUGCCUAUUACCGAGGAGCACGUGGGAGCCUCAGCCCCAGCUCCAGCUCCUCCACCGAACGCUUCGGGCCAAGACGUGAGAGAGGCCAUUAAUUUGUUGACUCAGUUGGUUGCGGCCCAGACUCAGAGGCCAAGCGCAGGGCAAGGUGACAGGGCUGUUAGUGCAAGGGCCCGUGACUUCAUUGCUUUGAAACCCCCAGAAUUCUUUGGGUCGAAACCGGAGGAGGACCCCCAGGACUUUAUUGAUGGUAUGCUAAGGACGCUCCAGUUGAUACAUGCUUCUGACACUGAGUCGGUAGAGCUAGCGUCCUAUAGAUUGAGAGAUAUCUCGAUCCAGUGGUAUACAGUAUGGAUGGCUUCGCGGGGAGCCAAUGCACCUCCGCCGGUAUGGCAAGAGUUUGUCAAUGCUUUUCUCCGUCACUACAUGCCUCCAGAAGUUCGGCGAGCUAGGGCCGAUAAAUUCUUGAAUUUGAGGCAAGGUAGCAUGAGUGCUACCGAGUAUAGUCUCCGCUUCAAUUCCUUGGCUAGGUAUGCUUCGGCCAUGGUAGCGGAUAUGGGUGAUCGGGUGCACCGGUUUGUGAAAGGCCUAGGGCCACACUUGAUGGAUAAAUGCUUAACUGCGUCCCUUCAAGAUGGCAUGGAUAUUGCACGCAUUCAGGCACAUGCUCAGGAAUUAGAGGAACACCUACAGCAGGGAGAAAUGAACGUGAGCAAGAUAGGGGACAUAGCAAGAGAGCUAGACCUUCAGGUUCGAGGAGCGAGUCUAGGGGUGGACACAGACAGCAGCUUCCCAGCCAUUCAGGCUAUUCUAUGACCAGUCCACCUCCACGGUUUUCAGGCCAGGGCCUUGAUAGAUCUGCUCGUUCAGGGCCGAGUCCGAGUUAUAUAAGACCUCAGUUCAGAGGUGAUUUGGGCCAGUCAAGGCCACCCGUACCACCAUGUUCCCAGUGUGGGAAGAUGCAUUGGGGUCGAUGCCGAUUUGGUUCAGAUGAUUGCUAUUCAUGUGGUCGGCCAGACCAUAUUAUGCGUGAUUGCCCCUCAGUACAUGGUAGAGGUAGGACCCAGCCAUCAGGGUCCGUAGCCGGAUCUUCAGCAUCUGUAUGCCCUACGGGGCCAGGUUCACAUGCGCCAGCUGGCCAUGGUAGAGGCAGAGGGAGAGCUCCCAGUACUAGCAGUUCUCAGCACCGUAUUUAUGCUUUGGCUGGACGCCAAGAUCUUGAGUCGUCUCCUGACGUACUCACAGGUAUAUUAUCGGUAUUCUCUCAUGAUGUAUAUGCUUUGAUUGACCCGGGCUCCACAUUGUCUUAUAUUACUCCAUAUAUUGCGGGUCGGUUUAUAGUCGAGCCGGAGUCGAUCAAACCUUUUGAGGUGUCUACGCCCGUUGGCGACUUGGUGAUAGCUAGCCGAGUGUAUAGAGAUUGUGUAGUCGUGAUAUGUGACCACCGUACUAUAGCUGACUUGCAUGAACUAAAGAUGGUAGAUUUUGAUGUCAUUAUGGGCAUGACUUGGUUGGCUUCUUGCUACGCCAAUGUUGAUUGUAGAAUGAAAAUGGUUCGCUUCCAGUUUCCGGGAGAACCAGUCUUAGAAUGGAAAGGAAAUACAGCGUCACCAAAAGGUAGGUUUAUUUCCUAUCUAAAGGCAAGGAAGAUGAUCACGAAAGGGUGCAUUUAUCACCUAGUGCGAGUUCAAGAUGUAGAAGCUGAGUCGCCGACUCUUCAGUCAGUUCCGGUAGUGAACGAAUUUCCGGAUGUGUUCUCGGAAGAGCUUCCAGGCCUUCCUCCCGAGCGAGAGAUCGAUUUUGCGACUGAUGUGUUGCCAGACACUAAUCCCAUAUCUAUUCCUCCCUAUAGGAUGGCACCCGCAGAGUUGAAAGAGUUGAAGGAGCAAUUAAAAGACUUGCUUGAAAAAGGCUUCAUUAGGCCUAGUUCAUCCCCGUGGGGAGCACUCGUAUUGUUCGUCCGGAAGAAGGAUGGCUCCUUGAGAAUGUGCAUUGAUUAUCGGCAAUUGAAUAAAGUGACAAUUAAGAACAAGUAUCCCCUCCCGAGGAUUGAUGAUUUAUUUGAUCAAUUGCAAGGUGCCAAAUGGUUUUCAAAAAUUGAUUUGAGGUCCGGGUAUCACCAAGUAAGAGUUAGGGAGAAAGAUAUCCCUAAGACAGCUUUCAGAACAAGAUAUGGCCAUUUUGAGUUCCGAGUAAUGUCGUUUGGGCUAACUAAUGCACCGGCAGUGUUUAUGGACUUAAUGAACAAUGUGUUUAGGCCUUUUCUGGAUCUAUUCGUGAUUGUAUUCAUCGAUGAUAUCCUAGUGUAUUCUAGAUCCGAGGCAGAACAUGCGGAUCACUUGCGUAUUGUCCUUGGAGUUCUUCGAACCUGAGAGUUAUUCGCGAAGUUUUCCAAAUGCGAGUUUUGGUUGAACUCAGUGGCAUUUCUGGGCCACAUUGUUGCAGCUGACGGUAUUCGAGUGGAUAGCCAAAAGAUUGAGGCAGUGAAGACUUGGCCAAGGCCCACGACCCCUAUGGAGGUUCGUAGCUUUUUGGGCUUAGCCGGUUAUGACAGAAGAUUUGUUGAGGGUUCUCUUCUAUUUCUGCACCGCUCACCAAGUUGACUCAGAAGUCAGCUAAUUUUCAAUAGACAGAUGCUUGCGAGCGUAGUUGCCAAGAGUUGAAAGACCGACUGACUUCAGCCCCAGUCUUGAUACUUCCAGAGGGAUUGGAAGGAUAUGUUAUUUAUUGUGAUGCUUCAUGCGUCGGGCUAGGCUGUGUAUUGAUGCAAAAUGGUAAGGUGAUUGCGUAUGCUUCUAGACAAUUACAGAAACAUGAGCAGAAUUAUCCUACCCAUGACUUAGAAUUGGCCGCGGUAGUCCAUGCUUUAAAGAUAUGGAGACAUUACUUAUAUGGUGUCCACGUGGAUAUUUAUACAGAUCAUAAGAGUCUCCAGUACAUCUUCAAGCAGAAAGAGUUGAAGUUACGGCAACGACGAUGGCUAGAGUUGCUAAAAGACUAUGAUGUUGAAAUCCUGUACCACCCCGGAAAGGCAAAUGUUGUGGCUGAUGCUCUUAGCCGUAGGUCGAUGGGAAGUCUAAGUGAUGGACGACCAGAAAAGAAAGAGAUGGCCCGUGAUCUUCAGCAGUUAGCUAGCCUAGGAGUCCGAGUGGUGGACUCUGGUAGCAGCGGAGCUAUUAUUCAGAAUUCAGCAGUUUCAUCGUUAGUAGCGGAAGUAAAAGAGCGACAAUAUGAGGAUCCAAUGCUAAUGCAGUACAGAGAUACACUCCCUCAGAAGGAGGAGUCAUCAUUUGACAUUUCGGAAGACGGAGUUCUCCGAUGUCGAGGCAGGUUAUGUGUUCCCGAUGUGGCAGGUCUACGCCAUCAGAUUUUGAGAGAAGCUCAUUGUUCCCGUUACUCCAUUCACCCCGGAGCGACGAAAAUGUAUCAUGAUCUUAAGACUAUAUAUUGGUGGAAUGGGAUGAAGAAAGACGUAGCGGAAUUCGUAGCUCAUUGUCCUAAUUGCCAACAAGUGAAGAUAGAACACCAAAAGCCGGGUGGCUUAUUGCAAGCUAUAGAAAUCCCAACUUGGAAGUGGGAAGUGAUUAAUAUGGAUUUCAUUACAGGGUUACCCCGUUCUCGACGUAAAUAUGAUUCUAUAUAGGUGAUCGUGGAUAGGCUCACAAAGUCAGCGCAUUUCUUACCGGUCAGAACGACCUAUAUGGCAGAAGAUUAUGCCAAGCUUUAUCUUAAAGAGAUAGUGAAACUCCAUGGCGUCCCGGUAUCUAUUAUCUCCGAUAGUGGAACUCAGUUUACAGCCAAGUUUUGGGGGUCUUUCCAAGAAGGUUUAGGGACCCAAGUGCGCCUAAGCUCGGUAUUUCACCCACAGACCGAUGGGCAAGCUGAACGUACUAUUCAGACUCUUGAAGAUAUGUUACGGGCAUGUAUGAUAGAUUUUGGAGGAAAUUGGGAUGACCAUUUGCCACUCAUUGAGUUUGCUUACAAUAACAUUUAUCAUUCUAGCAUUCAAAUGGCACUGUAUGAAGCUCUAUAUGGGCGAAAGUGUAGAUCCCCAAUUGGGUGGUUUGAAACCGGAGAAGCUAAGUUGAUAGGGCCAGACUUGGUCCAGCAAGCAAUAGAGAAAGUUAAGCUCAUACAAGAUCGGUUGCUAGCGGCUCAAAGUCGUCAGAAGUCCUAUGCGAAUAAUAGUCGAAGAGACUUAGAGUUCGAAGUGAAAGAUUGGGUAUUCUUGAAAGUGUCGCCGAUGAAGGGCGUGAUGAGAUUUGGCAAAAAGGGGAAGCUCAGUCCCCGGUAUAUUGGGCCAUACGAAAUUGUGCGCAAAAUAGGCAAAGUGGCUUAUGAGCUAGAUCUACCUCCAGAUUUGGGGUCAGUCAAUCCAGUAUUUCAUGUCUCGAUGCUUCGGAAGUGUGUUGGAGAUCCUACGAGGAUCGUCCCAGUGAAUGAUAUUCAAGUGACAGAAAAGUUAACUUAUGAUGAAAUACCCAUUGCCAUAUUAGAUAGGCAAGUAUGGAGGCUUAGAAACAAAGAAGUGGCCUCAAUUAAAGUUUUGUGGAGAAAUAACUAUUGAGAGGAAAUGACAUGGGAAGCGGAAGAGAAUAUGCGAUCCAAAUACCCACAUUUAUUUCAGCCCUUGGAAGAAGUCCAAGAUGAGACGUCAAAAUCAUAAGGUAUGCAUGUUUUCCCUUUUAUACAUUCAGGUCGUGUGUGGCCAAAUUUCUAGUGCUGUUGUAUUAUUGCCCUGUGAGGCAUUGUAAUUGUGGGUUGUUGUGACAGGGUGGUAGUGCCACAUUACAGAGGAAACUCUGGCAAAAUUUUUAUAGAAUUCCCCAAGCCUUUAACAUUCGAGGACGAAUGUUCCUAAGGGGGGGUAGAAUGUUACACCUCGGAAAUUUUUUCCGUUGGUAUGCAAGAGAACGAACUAGUGAUGAAUAUGAGUGCAUGAUGUCCAUGAGCAAGAAACGACGUUGAUAACCUUAGGCGAUAUUUCGAAGGUAUCCGAUGUGAGACGAAGAAGUUGGCUAAGUUAAGAUGAGAUACAAGGUGAGCAAUGCAUGUGCAUGGACGGGGGUGAUUGAAAUGAGAAGUCUAAGAAAUGUGGGAAGUUGCAGAAUUGCAACUGCCCAGUGGUCAUAUAUUGCAAAAUACGGACCGUAAAGUGCAAUACGGUCCGUAAACUGGCGGUCGUAAACUGCCAUGCCAAGCUUCGACUUUCUGCCAGCUGAGGAAAUGGUUAAAUACGACCUGGUGGACGGACCGUAAAGUGAUUUACGGCCCGUAAACCAUGGUCGUAAACCACCAUGAAGGCAGCCCAGCUUCUGGUUCUGGAAAUGGCUAAAUACGCCCAUGGAGGACGAGCCGUAUAGUGGAAUACGGUCCGUAAACCUCCAUGGACGACCACUGUUCACCCAGCACAGAUUUUUCCAAUUCAUUAAAUAUGAGGAUCAAGACUUAUUUUAUUUCAUUACAACAUUACACCACUUCUAUCUAAAACUUCUCUCUACAUUUAUUAUAUGAGUUUUCAAAGAUUAUAAGCCAUCAAUAACAUUAAGACAAGUGAAUCAAGGAUAAGGGAAUCAUCAAGGAUUAUCCAAGUCAAAAAAUCCAAAUGGAGAAAAACUAGGAAUUUGCUCAAAGAGGAGUAUUAUCAACCAAAGCUUGUUCCUACAACUUCUAAGGUAAGAUUCAUGAUUUUUACAAGAUGUUUAAGGUAUUGGAGAAUUAAAAUACAUGGAUUGUAGAAAAUGUGGUCAACUAGGUCAUGAAUGAUGAAUAGUGACAUUGUGAGAAAUAGUUUGAAUUGAGUUAUGGAUGUUGUUGUGUUGUGAUAUGAAUGUGUUAUAAAUGGUAUUAAGAUCAUGAACUAAACACUUUAGACGAAUGGACGAAGAUGGGUGUUAUGACCAUGAAUGUGGGUGAAUUAGAGGCAAAUUGAGGAAUCUAGAUAAUGUGGAUAAUGUGAAUGACUAAUGGCCAUUGUUAUGAUAUUAAUGAAGGUAUAAACGCUAGCAUUGGAAGGGAACGUGCAAGUGUAGAAUAGUUCGACGGAAAGGUAUGUAAGGCUAACCCUUAUUUCAUAAGGCAUGGUUCUUGGCCAAAUUCCUAAUUCCUCUAUAUGAGUAUGUUGUCUUCACAUGGUUGACAUUCCGAGCUCAUAAGCUCACGACCCUUGAUAUGUACUAUGAUUAUACUAUGUUCCUCGUAUGACGAGUAAGUCUAUAAUGUAGAUGUAACGAUAAUGAUGAGGAUAGUAAUGAUGAUGAGAGUAAAAUUAGAUUAGAGAUGCUUACGAGUUAUGAUAUAUGUAUAUGUAUGCCUAUGAAGGGCUAUGAUAAGACCCCGAGCUUAUGAUGCCGGGUAAGACUAUAUGUAUAUGGCUAUGUAUAAAGUAUGUAUACGAUUACGAAACGCGCGCACACCUCUGCAGAUGGUACAGAUAACCCUGACGCCUUGGUAGGGCCAGGUAUGUAUGACCUUGAGCCUUGGUUGGCCAAGCAUGUAUAAGACACCGAUCCUAUGAGGUCGGGUAUGCUAUGUAAAUGCUAUGUAUAUGAAAUGACUAUGUAUAUGAUAUGAAUAUGAAUGUGAUAAGACUAUGUAUAAGAAUACGAAUAAGGACAUGUAUACGAAUAUGAGCACAAGUAUGGUACGAGUAUUAUUAUGGGAUACGAACGACGAUGUAUGCAAGUAAGCGACAUGAUGAUGAUGAUAUUACUGUCUCCCCUCCUAUGCUAUUUUCAUAUGAUAUCUAUUAUGCUUCUAUAUUGAUGUUGAUCAUGCUUUACAUACUCAGUACAUUCUUCGUACUGACGUCCUUUUGUUUGUGGACGCUGC